AUGCAAGUCGAGGGGCAGCAUAAAUUACCUGUAAUUUGAUGGCGACCGGCGAACGGGUGCGUAACGCGUAUGCAACCUACCUUUUACUAGAGAAUAGCCAAGAGAAAUUUUGAUUAAUGCUCUAUACACUUUAAGACUUACAUGAGUCUAAAAGAAAAGCUCCGGCGGUAAAAGAUGGGCAUGCGUUCUAUUAGCUUGUAGGUGAGGUAACGGCUCACCUAAGCUUCGAUAGAUAGGGGUCCUGAGAGGGAGACCCCCCACACUGGUACUGAGACACGGACCAGACUUCUACGGAAGGCAGCAGUAAGGAAUAUUGGACAAUGGAGGAAACUCUGAUCCAGCCAUGCCGCGUGCAGGAUGACUGCCCUAUGGGUUGUAAACUGCUUUUAUAUAGGAAGAAACACUCCCACGUGUGGGGGCUUGACGGUACUAUAUGAAUAAGGAUCGGCUAACUCCGUGCCAGCAGCCGCGGUAAUACGGAGGAUCCAAGCGUUAUCCGGAAUCAUUGGGUUUAAAGGGUCCGCAGGCGGCCUGUUAAGUCAGAGGUGAAAUCCUACAGCUCAACUGUAGAACUGCCUUUGAUACUGAUAGGCUUGAGUUAUUGUGAAGUGGUUAGAAUGUGUGGUGUAGCGGUGAAAUGCUUAGAUAUCACACAGAAUACCCAUUGCGAAGGCAGAUCACUAACAAUAUACUGACGCUCAUGGACGAAAGCGUGGGGAGCGAACAGGAUUAGAUACCCUGGUAGUCCACGCCGUAAACGAUGGAUACUAACUGUUCGACCUUCGGGUUGAGUGGUCAAGCGAAAGUGAUAAGUAUCCACCUGGGGAGUA
rnacentral:rRNA from 1 species